rnacentral:rRNA from 1 species
CCUACGGGUGGCAGCAGUGAGGAAUAUUGGUCAAUGGACGAGAGUCUGAACCAGCCAAGUAGCGUGAAGGAUGACUGCCCUAUGGGUUGUAAACUUCUUUUAUAUGGGAAUAAAAUGUUCCACGUGUGGGAUUUUGUAUGUACCAUAUGAAUAAGGAUCGGCUAACUCCGUGCCAUCAGCCGCGGUAAUACGUAGUAUCCGAGUGUUAGACGGAUUUAUUGGGGUUAAAGGGAGCGUAGGUGGAAUGUGACGUCAGUAGUGAAAGUUUGCGGCGCAAACGUAAAAUAGCAGUUGAAACUGGCAGUCUGGAGUACAGUAGAGGUGGGCGGAAUUCGUGGUGUAGCGGUGAAAGGCUUAGAUAUCACGAAGAACUCCGAUUGCGAAGGCAGUUCACUGGACUGCAACUGACACUGAGGCUCGAAAGUGUGGGUAUCAAACAGGAUUAGAUACCCUUGUAGUC